rnacentral:rRNA from 1 species
AUUGAACGCUGGCGGCAGGCCUAACACAUGCAAGUCGAACGAGUGGCGGACGGGUGAGUAAUGUCUGGGAACAUGCCUGAUGGAGGGGGAUAACUACUGGAAACGGUAGCUAAUCCCACCUACCAUCGGAUGUGCCCCGAUGGGAUUAGCUUGUUGGUGGGGUAAUGGCUCACCAAGGCGACGAUCCCUAGCUGGUCUGCGAGGAUGACCAGCAACACUGGAACUGAGACACGGUCCAGACUCCUAAGGGAGGCAGCAGUGGGGAAUAUUGCACAAGGGGCGCAAGCCUGAUGCAGCCAUGCCGCGUGUAGGAAGAAGGCCGUCGGGUUGUAAAGUACUUUCAGCGGGGAGGCGUUACCCGCAGAAGAAGCACCGGCUAACUCCGUGCCAGCCGCCGCGGUAAUUC